CCCUGUGGAAACAACUUGUGUUUUCUGUGGGAAAGGUAGAUGGUGAUGGAAGAUGACAGCAAUGGUAAUGAUAAUGGUGAAGGUGUGCUCACUGACAUGUUUCUUAAGGUCUUUGCUCCAGUAAUUAAAGUUUCCUCUGUUUUUCAGCCUUAAAUAUUGAGCACACCAGUUUAUACGGCUGUAUUCUUGUGAUUGCCCUUAAGCUUACAGGCUUUUUAGAAGGGAAGGAUCUUCACAGGAGCUGGCAGUGCUGGCCUCGGGGCAAGCAACUGGACUCCAUGAGGCAGCAGAGAUCCAGUGAUCAGCCCAGUCCUUCAGCCCCAUGACUAUGGCUGUGACUGUCCUCAGGGGCCUGCCAACAGGGCUUUGCAAUUCUGCAGACUCUACAUGGGCUUGAAAGCUGAGCAAGAUUUGUAGCUUGCACCAAAUCCAAGACAACGUCUGUGAGGGUAUUUGCAGGUAAAUGUGUGUAUAAGGCUCCUGAGACAGAACCAAAAGGGAGUUAUUUUUCCAUGUAGCCUACAUUGCUUUUUCAUACCCAAGGCCUAACACUUGGAAAACUCAUUCUGUAAGCUGCUUUCUGUGAAGGCAGGUAUCACACAGCAUUUUAUACAGAGCUGGGCAAAAUUAUCUUUAAGGAUUGGGUCACUAUGGUAACCGUUUUUAUCUCAGAAUCAAAAAGUGGUUAUGAUUGUAAUUAAAAAUGUAUGCUUUCUACCAAGAAUUAUUGUGAAUUAUAAUUCAUCUUCUGUUGCAUACUACAGUUAUUU